GACGUAGGGGGCCAGCGUUGCUCGGAAUUACUGGGCGUACAGGGAGCGUAGGCGGUUGGAUAAGCCCUCCGUGAAAUCUCCAGGCUUAACCUGGAAAGUGCAGAGGGGACUGUUCAGCUAGAGGAUGGGAGAGGAGCGCGGAAUUCCCGGUGUAGCGGUGAAAUGCGUAGAGAUCGGGAGGAAGGCCGGUGGCGAAGGCGGCGCUCUGGAACAUUUCUGACGCUGAGGCUCGAAAGCGUGGGGAGCAAACAGG
rnacentral:rRNA from 1 species